CCAGUUUAUAUCACUAAUCAUGAGCUUCCGGAAACUGCAAAAGCCAUCACAACAGACAAGAAUAUGGAAGGCUGUACUAUGUGGGUUCAAAAGCCAGGAUUGUCAGCAGCAAAAGAUCCAAAGACGUCUUUUUCACUCCUUAGUUACUGAGAACUGUGGCAUAACACAUCUGGCACAGGUAUAGAGCUCCUGUUCAACAAGCCACCAGCUGUACCUUCUUUCCC
rnacentral:lncRNA from 14 species